GAUGAACGCUGGCGGCGUGCCUAAUACAUGCAAGUCGAGCGAACAGACGAGGCGCUUGCUCCUCUGACGUUAGCUUCGUACGGAUUAGUAACACGUUGAUUACCUCCCUAUUAGACUGGCAUAACUUCGGGAAUCCGGAUCUAAUACCGCAUAAUAUAUUGCACCGCAUGGUUCCAUCGCGUAAUACGGUUUUGCUGUCACUUAUAGUUUGAUCCGCGCCGCAUUAGCUAUUUGGUAAGGUAACGGGUUACCAAGGCAACGAUGCGUAUCCGACAUGAGAGGGUGAACGGACAGACUGGAACAGAGAAACGGCCCAGACACCUACGGGAGGAAGCAGUAGGGAAUCUUACGCAAUGGGCGAAAGCCGGACGGAGCAAAGCCGCGUGAGUGAUGAAGGUCUGAGGAUCGGAAAACUAAGUUAUAAGGGAAGAAGAAAUGUGUAAGUAACUAUGCACGUCUUGACGGUACCUAAGCAGAAAGCCACGGCUAACUACGUG
rnacentral:rRNA from 1 species